rnacentral:ncRNA from 1 species
ACGGGAAUGAGGUUCUCCCGGGGCCGCAAGGCCCGAACCGCCGUCCGGCUGAUGACUUCUGCACG